rnacentral:lncRNA from 1 species
CACCAGCCUUGUAUCUUACAGUUCAGUUCUUAUGUACUUGGUGUAAAAGAUUUUAAGCAAUAUAACUUGUAGAAGUUAUAUUGAUUAAUUGUUUUGGCAACACAGCAUAUUGUCCAGUGCACAUGGUUAAAGAUGUGCUACCUUCAAAUAUUUUCUGUUCUUCUUUUUAGUGUUGGAAAGUUCACGAUUGGCAAAUUUCAAGCUGUAGUAAAUGCACAACCUCAAAAACAAUUAAGAAAGCAAUUUGUUGGAACAUGAAGAAAGCAGAAAGCAAUUUGUUGGAACAUGAAGAAAUCAAUUUGUCAGAACAUGAAGAACCCAGAAAGCAAUUUGUUGGAACAUAAAGACCUUCAAAUGUGUUUUCUGUUUGAUCAAAGGCCUUAAUGAAACAAAACUGCUUCCUGUUAUCAUCUAGGUCAUUACAUUGGAUGGCAUUUGUGCAUGUAGGACAGUUGCAGAUCUUAAUAGAUUUAUGGAUCUAAACUCAAAUUUAUGGAACUAAAUUAUAUGGAUUUAUGGAACUAAAAUCAAAUUAAAUAUGGAUUGAUAAUAUGGAUAAAAAAUAUGGAUUUAUGGAACUAAAAUCAAAUCAAAGUGUUGUUUACAUUUUGGGGUUGUACAACUUGUACAUAGUAGAAUACACUAGAUGUUAAAGUUUCAUUUACUUGGUUCCCUUUGUAAAAACAACACUACAACUUACAUGCACCAACAUCCGGUUUGUUGCAAGUUGAAACCAAUUUUAUUGCCUGAUAUAUUUUACUCUGCCAACAAGUCUUAAUAACAACUUACAUGCACCAACAUCCGAUUUGUUGCAAGUUGAAACCAAUUUUAUUGCCUGAUAUAUUUUACUCUGCCAACAAGUCUUAAUAACUAAGGGGCUAUUUACAUGAGCCCGACUAGUCCUGUUAACUGAGGCACCCAGCUUAAUACAAAUCAUUUAACAAGAAUCUGCCUAGCCGAGAUCUCACUUGAGUCAAAGAGGAUGCCCGGAUAACCGGGCUGAAAUUUCUCCAUGUAAAGUCACCAGCUCAGGUAACCUCCUGGCUAGCCAGGCCUUCAGCCUGGUUAACCGGGCCAGCCUGCAUGGCUAGCCAGGCUCAUGUAAACAGCCCCUAAGGUGAUAGCAACAAUAAUGUACUUGGUGCUAAAUGUAACAUAAACUUGAGUAACAGAGAAAAUUCUCAUAUUCAGAUUAUUUUCCCCUCAUUGUAGAGUAAACUGUUAAUAUGUAUCUUAAAAACUAGAGUGUAUAUUAGAAUCUCACAGAUUUAUAAUUUAAACUGUCGUUAAGAUAAAUCAGGUCUUUUAUUGUCUGUUUUGUAAAUGAAGUUCCCUGAUUCAUCCAAGCAUUGAUCUUUAAACUAUUUUUCCAAUAUCAAUGAACAGUCAUGAUAAUGUCAUAGGAGGCCUUGUCACUUGUGAUACCAAAUUUGUAAAGUCACAGCCAAAGGAUUUCAAUAGGUUCAAGUCAAUAUAUUAUCUCUAAAAUUCAUUUUUGAAGAAGAAGUAGGUCCAGCAAUUUCUUUCAUAUCGCAAUAUUAUUUUAUAUUAAACGAUUGUAGGCCAAUAUGCCAAGUUGAAUUACACUGUUUGAAUAGUUGAUCACAGAUUCACAGAAGGUUCGAUGAACUCGAUUUAUUUCCUUCAUUGUUCAUGGUAUUCACGUCCUUAAUCCUUUUGUACACCAUGAAAUAUCACCAACCUAUCACUCAAAACAUAUUUUACGGCGAUCGGACUAACCACACAUAAGCUAUAUAACUUUAUAUGUUUAUCACUAUUCGCCAAAGACCGAGGUGAAAUUAAUCGAUGUAUGACAAUGGCCAAAUUCCACGCUUAAAUUCGUUUGUCAUCCUCAUAGUGACAAUUAAAUCAAAGAACAUCCUCUUCUUUAUCAUAUUUCAAAGUAUCAUGAGUUUUGCUUGGAUACAUAAAAAGCUAGAGCACUUUUAGUGGCUCUAUUUCGCAUUCCGCCAUAUUAACUCCUAUAAAAU